UCACAGGGAUCAUGCAAUGCAGAUGUAGCUAAGCAUUAUGCAAAGAGCAGUCCCCACCCAUGUAUUCGAUAUGCUGUCUUUCAGAUGGAUUUACAACAAUUAUCAUGAAGAAUCCUUAGUGUUGUUUUUCUCUGUAGUGAACUGGCCAAAGGAAGGUGUACAUGGGGAAUAGCACUGAAAUUCUCUAAGAAAGUAGCUUGAGGAAAAGGCAGAUAAUUAGUUAGAGAAGGGACAGGGGAAGAUAACCUCCAACGUCAUUGAUAUAUGGAUCAGGACCUCGACCCUCAAGAAAGCUGGCGUGUUUCUAAUCAACUUCGUGAGAAUCAUGAGAUCAUCCUUUCUAACCCUAAGAGGGGAGAAAAAUGCCUCCAAUCAUCUUAAUCAAUGGCAUCUAGCCGUCUACGGGCUCCGAUUUUAUCAGAUCUAUUGAAUCGGUGGUCGGAGUUUCAUGUUAUCCGGCGUCGAGUUCUUCGCCGAUUCUCAUUUUGACAGCAUCGAAGGGUUGGUGUUCAUUUUAUGGUCAAUCUCUGAACUGAAUUAACCAGUUUGAAGAAAUUGGAGGUGUUAAACGUUGGCUAUAACAGUCUGACAGGAAGCAUUCCAUCAUCUAUUGGAGGUGUAAGAAGUUUCCUCGGGAGUUUCUGUACUUGUAUCGUUGUAUGUCAUUUUCACGAUAUUGCAAUAAGGCCUUGAGCUCUAUGUAGUAUAACGAGGUCAGAUCCUGAAAGUUCAGAUGAUCAAAGAAAAGUGGCGAAACUGUCUAUCAGGAAAAGGGGAAUAGGAUCAGAAGCUAAUGCAGAACGUACGGCUAAUGCUGACACGGACCUGCAGUUAUUAAAUAAUGCUGAACGAGAAAGAUUGUUGCAGAGACAAAAAAAGCGGAGACUGAAGGGGCGAAAAGAAGAUGUACUUGCCAAACUUGACAGGUUCAAAAGUUCAAUUUCUUUGAAGCAUGUUGAACCACGAGGUGAAUCCGAAGGGAGAACUAAUGAAGAUCUAUCUGACUGGAAAACUGUCCGCCUGAAGUUUGCACCUGACCUUGGAAAGGAAAUUUGGGGCCGAGUUAACAGGAGAUAACAAGAUUAAGAAGGCUGCUCAGGGAGUGGUGGGAAAUAAAAGUGCAAUACCGAAGCCGCUGGCGACGAGGGAAGUUUUGACCACGAAACCGAAGCAGUGGAAGUGGUAGAGAUAAAGAAAAAGAGGAGAAGAUGAUGCCUAAUAAUGAAGAGGAUUCCUACUAUGACCGAUGUACUUACUGCUAGGAGCAAGUGAGAGAAUAUCAGAGAGGAGAUAUUGUGGUAUCCAGAUGGCGAUAAGACUGUUCUAAUCGAGUAUAGUCUGGCAACUUGUGCUUAUGCAUCUGGUACAAGUACCUGGUCUUAGUGGCUGGUGGCAUUGGUAUUUCCCCUUUCCUUGCUGUCUUAAGUGAUGUAAUGCACCGUCUCAAAGAGGGAAAAUCUUGCAUGCCCAAAAUUAACUUCAUUGUUUGGGCCAUUAAAAACUCAGAUGAGAUGCCACUUCUAUCAAUGAUAAAUAUGGAUUCCAUGGACCGCAUUUCCUACAAUGCCUUGAAUCUCGACAUUCAAAUUUAUGUCACUCGACAAUCAGAACCUAAACUGGAAGAGGGGAAGGCAUUUGGAGCUAUAAACUCCUGUGUAUAUCCUAUAUCAAAACGUUCUGCUAUAUCAGUUUUGUUUGGUACUGGAGAUAACAUAUGGUCUGGGAUUUACAUCAUUGCCUCUUCAUUCAUGGUCUUCCUGGCUCUGUUGGACGCGCUUUACAUAAAUCCUUAUGGUAUAUAUGCUUGGUGGAACAAGGGGCACGGUCCCCCAGGAUAAAGUAUGAAAAGAAGAUUUCAAAGGAACAAUGAAGAUAGAUGAAGAAGCUCCUUCAGCUUUAGCUCCUGAACCAACUCCUCCGGGGGCUGAUGCUGAUAUGAUGGCUACUUCAGUGCCAGCUACUGUAAUCACUGGUCCUGGGAGCCAGUCACUAUCUUCUAUCCCCACAUCUGCUGUUCUCCCACCUGCAGGUGUUCCUCCGUCAGUUCCUCCUACUGUUAACCCUUUGUCAGCUCCACCUCCCGUGCUUGUCCCACCAACUGCUCCUUUACCUGUUGUAUCUCCUGCAAUGUCUAGACCAUUAGCUCCUCUACCUGUCCGCCCCCCUGUUACGCAAAAUGGUGAGGCAAAGGCAAGUGAUACGGACUCUGAUGAUGAUGAUCAAGAUUCAGAAAUGGGUGUGGAGGGUUUCUCUGCUGGUUAUGAAAUCACAGAGGAAAGUCGUCAGGUGAGGGAGAGGCAGGAGAAAGCUAUGCGUGAGUUCAUGAUGAAAUGCAUGCUGUUGCUUUAGCCGUUCCCACAAACGAUAUGUCUGUGCGGACUCGGCUUCGGCAGCUUGGUAAACCUAUCACUCUCUUUGGGGAGAGAGAGAGAGAUGGAAAGACAGGACCGGCCCCGGAUGCUUAUGGCUAAGCUUGAUUGGAAAAGCUGAUGAAAUCCCAUGAGGAAGAGGGGGAAGCAGCUUCAGCUAAGGAUGAGGUUGAAGAAGAAAUGCUUCAGUAUUCAUUUUAUACGGACGGUACCCAAGAAUUGCUGGAGGCUCAAAAGUUUUUAGCUAAGUUCUCUAUUGUUAGAGCAUCUCAGCGUCUGCAUUGUGCGAGGAAGCUCUUAGACAGGCAGGACCUUUUGUUCUUGAUUCCAGUGAGAUUAAUUGGUGAUGAUGGCCCACUUUGUGGAUGUUCAUUUUCAAAAGAUUGGAAUUCGCUUGCUACCUGGUAUGUUCUUGAGCUCUCUAAUCUCUCUCUUAAACUGGUUGCCUAAUUGGAGACUAGUAUUUUUCUUAGCCUUGAUACAAGUUUGGAGUUGUAGGAGUUGAUCAUCAUACUAUCUAUUGUUUGGACUUCAUAUGCGAGCUGUGAGCCCGUGACCUGACUGUGGGUGGUAUUUAUCAAUACUUGUUGCUUCCUGUCAUUCUAUUUUGUCACUUUGUGCUAUGUGAUUAAGACUUGAGAUUUUACUCAAGAUAUUUCAUUUUUGUUUUCAUCCUAGAAAACUUGUUUCGCUUUCUACAUGGUACAAUUUCUCUUUUAAACUGGUUGCCUGAUUAAAAGCAAAAUAUUUUUUUCUUAACCUUGAUACAAGUUUGGAGUUGUAGGAGUUGAUCAUCAUAUUAUCUAUUUUUUGUCAAACUACCCAUUUGUACUUCAAAUGGAAGUUGUGAGCAUGUCACCUGAUUGUGGAUGGUAUUUAUCAAUACUUGUUGAUACCUAUCAUUGUGUUUUGUGCUAUGUGAUUACUUAGAUAUAGAAUUUUUGUUUUCAUACAAGAAAACCUAAUUGAACUUUUCCCCCCUUUCCCCCUUAAAUAUUAUUCACUUUUUCAGUACGCUUGUUCUCUGUUUUGCUUUGACUUCUAUAUUGUUUGUUUGUUUUGGGGUGGGCUGGGAGUUUCCAUUCCGGUGGCUUAAAAAUAAUUAUGAAAUAUCACAGCAAGUCAAGCACUAUGUAUUUGUUCUUUCUGUUCUUUUAUGUAAGGGAUAGUGAAUACUUGUAAAGAGUGCUUGCUAUGUUUUCGAUUACAUUAUCAGUUAAAUUUAAUGCCAUAUGGUUAAUUUUGA